rnacentral:rRNA from 1 species
UACGAAGGGGGCUAGCGUUGCUCGGAAUCACUGGGCGUAAAGCGCACGUAGGCGGAUUGUUAAGUCAGGGGUGAAAUCCUGGAGCUCAACUCCAGAACUGCCUUUGAUACUGGCGAUCUUGAGUCCGGGAGAGGUGAGUGGAAUUCCGAGUGUAGAGGUGAAAUUCGUAGAUAUUCGGAAGAACACCAGUGGCGAAGGCGGCUCACUGGACUGGUAUUGACGCUGAGGUGCGAAAGCGUGGGGAGCAAGCAGGAGUUAAGAAACCCUUGGAUACGUUCCGAAGCAACCAA